rnacentral:rRNA from 1 species
CAGUCGCCACGGUAAUACAGAGGGUGCGAGCGUUAAUCGGAUUUACUGGGCGUAAAGCGUGCGUAGGCGGCUUUUUAAGUCGGAUGUGAAAUCCCUGAGCUUAACUUAGGAAUUGCAUUCGAUACUGGGAAGCUAGAGUAUGGGAGAGGAUGGUAGAAUUCCAGGUGUAGCGGUGAAAUGCGUAGAGAUCUGGAGGAAUACCGAUGGCGAAGGCAGCCAUCUGGCCUAAUACUGACGCUGAGGUACGAAAGCAUGGGGAGCAAACAGGAUUAGAUACCCCUGUAGUCCUUGUCUCUUAUAC